GUCAGUGUGGAACUUGACACCCACAAGAACCCCAGUAUACCACUGUCUCAGAACAACCCAUGCAGUCGAUCAUUUGCCUAGUAAAUGUGUCUGGAUACCUAUAGUCUGCAACCUAACCACACCUGCCAACCACAUGAACUCCACAUCAGAGGUGAAGCUUCAUUCCAGAUGGUGUAAAUGCUUUUAUCAUCGAAGACUCUGGGAAGGUUCCCUUUAAGACAGUCAGACUUCCGCCUGCCUAACGGUACAUCAUGUGAUACUUGUCCAUCACAGGAUACUGAAUGAGGAUUCCUGAAAAGAAACUCAGUCACAUAGGCUGAUUGAGAAAAUCUGCAGACAAAACCCAAAUUCAAACUCUGAAGAGCAACUUCUACUGAACGUGGAUUGCUGUUUGAUUAUGGUGAAACUGAGGCAUCUUAAGUGUAACUAAUGACUUAGGUGUGGGAGUUCUAUUGGAGAUAUAUCAGCUGAGGCAGGGCACCUUAUGUCAAUUUUAUUCUGCAUUUUGAUAAGCUGUGACUUUCUGUAAAAGUCUUCUCUGCAAAAAGAAGUUUCUCUGAUGAGAGGCCUGGUCUAGGAGAUGGAACCUAUGCAUUGACACUGCUCGGGCGACCAAGAACCUGAGACUAGAUAGAACACGAACUUGGGGGAAAACCAAAUACUACUGUCCUGCUAAAAGAAUGUAGCAAUUAAAUGACUUUCAAAUAUUCUGCUAUGCUCAUAGACUAGGGACUGAGCAAGACAUUGUCGGAGAACCUUCCUCCCGCUAUGGAUGGAAACAAAUGCAGAGCUGCACAGCCAGACAACACGCAGACAGCGAGAGAUUUUGGAGUACUCCGUCCUAAAUGUGAUGUCUCCAUCUGAAUCCCUGACCUCAGGAAUCAAGGAACUCUGGAAAAGGAGGCAGGAAGAGUGUAGGCGUCAGUGAUUAUGGAAGGCACCAAGAAAACAAGGCCCACUAGAUACAACAGGGUUGGUGCGUACAAGAAUCCACAGACCUUGGCAGCAUACGCAAAGCCUGAACAGAUCCAGGCUAAACGGGACCCCAGCACUGAAAGAGGGUGUGGACACAAGUCCAUAUCCCUAACCCAGAAGCUAUCUCCAACUGACAAUAACUCAGAAAAGAAAAAUUAGUUUUCUCCAACAGAAUCCCACUGGGUAUACAAAUCAUACUUAAAAACCCACCCCAUGGCCGGCACUAGAUAGUCAAUACAAAAUGAGCUCAAUACUAUUUUUGGAGGGAUUUUGUCUCAUUAUGCUCUGUCUGAGUUUUUUUUUUUUUUUAACUCUUACAGGUUUUUGCUUAUAUAUUAUGGUUUCCAAUUUAAUAUUCUUAUUGGUUUCUGUGUUUUUAAAUGUGUGUCUCUGUGCCUAUAUGUGUUUUUUUUUGUGCUUUUUCUUUGGAUCUUUUAUUUGUUUGUUUUUCCUAUCCUAUUAUUAUAUAUCUGACUCAUUCUCUGGCUGGCUGGCAACUCCUCUGAAUCUGCCUUUCUCCUUCCCCACAUUCUCAGUUUGACUUUCCUACCUAACCUUAUUCUCUUUAGCUAUCAAUCAGGUACCUUGUUCAUUAAACCAGUCACGGUGAUGAGUCUUCACAAUGUACAUGGGAUUAUUCCACAGCAAGACAGUGGGACAUAAUUUUUAUUGUUUGUAUUGAGCUAUAUAUUUUUCUCUGCUCCCUUCUCCCCUUCUACCCUCUCUUGUGACCCCCCAUGCUCCCAAUUUACUCAGGAGAUCUUUUCUUUUUAUCCUUCCUAUAUAGAUCCAUAUAUGUCUCUCUUAGGGUCCUCUUUUUUGAGAAAGUGGGAAAUACACUUGAAUGCAUUGACAGAGGAGACCACUUUCUAAAUAUAAUGCUAGUAGCAUAGACACUGAGAACAAAAACUAAUAAAUGAAACCUCCUAAAACUGAGAAACUUGUGUAAAGCAAAGGAGAAGAUCAACAAGACAAAACACAGCCUAAAGAAUGGGAAAAGAUCUUCAUCAACUUCACAUCAGACAGAGGACUGAUUUUCAAAAUAUACAAAGAACUCAAAAAAAUUAACAUCAAAAGAACAAAUAAUUCAACAAAAAUAGGGUACAGAUCUAAACAGAGAACUCUCAACAGACAAAUCUCAAAUGGCUGAAAGACACUUAAGGAAAUGCUCAACAUCCUUAGUCAUCAGAGAAAUGCAAAUCAAAACAACUCUGAAAUUCCAUCUUACUCCUGUCAGAAUGCCAAGAUCAAAAGCACCAAUGACAGCAUAUUCUGGAGACGAUAUGGGGUAAGUGGAACACCUCUCCAUUGCUGGUGGGAGUGCAAGCUUGUACAGCACUUUGGAAAUCAGUAUGGCAAUUUCUCAGAAAAUUUGGAAGCAAUCUACCUCAAGACUCAGCAAUACCUAAAAGACGCUCAAUCAUACCACAAGGACAUGUGCUCAACUAUGUUCAUAGCAGUUACUAUUCGUAAUAGCCAGAACCUGGAAACAACCCAGAUGCCCCUCAACUGAAGAAUGGAUAAAGAAAGUGUGGUACAUUUACACAGUGGACUACUACACAUCAGUAAAAAAAACUACAUCUUGAAAUUUGCAGGCAAAUGGAUGGAUCUAGAAAAAAAACACACCGAGUGAGGUAUGUCCUCUAGACAACAACAUGGGACAUCCUUUUUAAAUGCCAUCUUCCCUUUGAGUGCUGUCUUCUCUUUCCAGUCAAAUUUGCAUAAAGCAGUACAUUUGACUUAACUAAUGAUGAUUUACAUUCAUGAGUUGUGAACAUCAAGUUUAAUUUGCUCAUUGGCAGGGAUGAAAAUGUGGUGCAGAAUAAUGGUAUGAAUGGGAGAACUAAGAGUUCUCAAUCAGCAAUCGACACAGAGACAGAAUUUGGAGGCGGCACUAUCGCUAUUGUUUUCUACAGCCGUAACACAGAGUCCAAAGCAGGGAAAUUUAAGAACAUAAACAUUUGUGUCGUCUUCAUUGUAAAAGAAAGAAGAAUCAAACAUAUUCUUAGUUUGAUAAAUCUAUGUCCUGGAAGGUAAGAGCUUGCUAAGUGAGAGAAACAGUGUCCUUUGCUGGAAGGAAUCCUGAAGGUAAAUAUUCCCCCUUUAGUAAUCUCUGUAUGCUGCUGUAGCAAGCAACUAAGUGUGACAGCUGUCCAUUUCUGAGAAAACUCCCUAGAUUCUUCCAGACUUAAAGUUUAUGUUACCUUGGCUUAUCUUGAGAAAUAAAAAACCAGAACACAAGAAAGCAUUUCCACAGUUUUCAAUCUCAUAUGAAUUUUAGACUUGCAUGCAAUAAAACGUUUGUCCUCAGAAAGGUCAGAUAAAUUCAGAGAAAGAGAAUUUCUUAGGAGCCAAUUUGCCAUGAAAACACAUAUCAACAUGCCCUGAUUUUUGGAGUGAAGUCUGUGAGAGAGUUCUCAGCUAGAUCAGAAUGAGCUCAGAUAAUCUUCCUGGCUCUCUCUGAUUCUGCAGUUAGCACAGCUGUCUUAUUUAUUCAAAUAAAUGGUUGGAACCUCGUGUUUCUAUUAUACAUCUUUUCUCUGUGUAUUUAAUGCUUUACAAUGUCUUCUGGAGUUUCCUCGGGAGAAUAUGGAAAUCUCAGUAGUGCACACAGACUCAGAGGGUUGAGUCCAGGCCCGGGAAUGGUGCUGGGCAUCUCUCUCACUCCUCUUUGAAGGAGAGACAAAUCUCUUCUAUCAUCCUCUUCAUCCGCUCUCUGGUUCCUGAGUUUUGAAAAACUUUCUGUGAUUUGUCUACAAGUUGAAAGCAAUUGAAAGGCUUAUGUUUUGCUUUCUUAUUUUGUUUCUCUUCUUAAUCUCUUAGAUGUGUUUCUGGACAACUUGUUCCCAGAACUAGUGAAUAAUUCUUUUAACUGAUGACUUAGUGUGCUUCAGUACAACAUUUAAAAACAACUUUCUAAGACUAUUAGCAUUUAACUUACAGCAGGAGAUUCCGAUAGUGAAGAUGUGGAAUGAAGAGCUUCUCUUGAGCUCACAGCCGUGCCCACCACAGGGCUGGGGAGCUUCACACUGUUGAAUUUUAAAAAACAACCCUUCGUUGCUUUUCUCACUUCAUUGCAAAUGGGUAAAACUCUACCACAGAUCGGCACUGAUGCAGUGUUUCGAGUCACCUUUUGUCAUAGUGUAUAUAAUCGCAUGUAUUUUUUUUCUUUUUUGAGAAAGGAUUUCUCUGUAGCUUUGGAGCCCAUCCUGGAACGAGCUCUUGUAGACCAGGCUGGCCUCGAACUCACAGAGAUCCGCCUGCCUCUGCCUCCCAAGUGCUGGGAUUAAAGGUGUGCGCUACCACUGCCCGGCUAGUUGCACGUAUUUUUAAAAUGGUCUUACACUGUAUGUGCCUUCCUCAUACCCAUAGAAUGGGUUAUCCUGUCACCAUUUCCUGUCUUUCAUGAAGAAGAGGGAUCACUGAGUUCUUAGUGAAAACUCUUCUCUUUUUUUUUGCCUAGAAAACAUAUGAUGUCCACAUGUGAAGACUUCAGCAAAGAGGCAGAUUUUGGUGUAAACUUGGAAUGCAAAUUUU